rnacentral:rRNA from 1 species
UACGUAGGGGGCAAGCGUUGUCCGGAUUUAUUGGGCGUAAAGAGCGUGUAGGCGGCCAUGUAGGUCCGUUGUGAAAACUCGAGGCUCAACCUCGAGACGCCGAUGGAAACCAUGUGGCUAGAGUCCGGAAGAGGAGAGUGGAAUUCCCGGUGUAGCGGUGAAAUGCGCAGAGAUCGGGAGGAACACCCGUAGCGAAGGCGGCGCUCUGGGCCGGUACUGACGCUGAGGAGCGAAAGCGUGGGGAGCAAACAGG